GAAUGACGAACUAUCCCAGCGUGUACUGAGCGAUAGAUGUAUUGGACUCCCUGAUCUAGACUCUCUGUCAGAAUGAAUCCUGACACACCUGAAAACACGAGCUGGUAUAGAGACUGGUAUAGAGCUGAAGUGAAGUGCUGGUGGUAUGGUGUGACAAUAAGUGUCCCAUCAACGGAGGAACACUGAUGGAUUAUAACAUUACGCAGAGCUAGUGUCUACAGUGAAGUUAAACAGAGCUCUGGAGCUAUCAGUAGUUGUGGGUUUACAAGAAGCAUAUAGAAGAGUGGUGCUGUUGGGCCUGGUUAAAGAAAUGAAGCGAGUAGUGUCUGUAACCAUCAAUAUCCUUCUAUCAGUCACUCAGCAUUCUGCCAUCUACACCUAAUCUCAUUCCACCAGUUCUGAAUGGACCUCGCACCAGCGAAGAAAGAAUCAGGCGAACUGAUGAAACCAUGUGAAGACCAUCAAGUACAGCUUUAGCUAGGGAGAAAAAGGACUUGUAAAAAAAUAAAACAAGAACAGAAUAGACUGUUCUACAAUGGAAUAGAAUAUUUAGUAGCAAAAUCAGGAUGAUACACAGAAAUAAUAAAAUAAAAUAAAAAUAAAACACUGAAAAGGUAUCGGGAAAAAAUAAAAUAAUUUUUUAAACAAAAGACAUUUAAUUUUUCACAAUUGUUGACACACUUUUAUGUACACACCC